rnacentral:rRNA from 1 species
UGCAGGACUGCCUGAGUCCAUCUUGGGUUACUUGGGCAACCUGUACGACGGGGCGGUCACCGAGUUGAACGGGGUUGCUAUUAAGAUUAGUAGAGGGGUUAAGCAGGGGGAUCCUCUAUCACCUAUUCUAUUCUGCUAUGUGAUAGAUGAGUUAAUGGACAACCUAGAUAGCGGUAUUGGGUUCCCGUUGGCAGGGCAUAGAGUCAACGCGGCAGCCUUUGCCGACGACUUGGCUAUUCUGUCUAGGUCUAAAGCCGGUUUGCAGGCGCUCUUGGCAAGCUUGGCCGACUCACUUCUUCCCACUGGGCUUGAGGUGAACCCGGCUAAGUGCUCCACGCUUGCUAUUAUUUGGGACGGGAAGAAUAAGCGUUGGCUGCAUGAUGCCAAGGGGCAGUUUAAGUUUAGGGGGUCUACUCUGCCAGCACUUGGAGUUGAGGAGUCGUAUAAGUAUUUAGGACUUCAGUAUGGUUCAAAGGGCAAGUUGAAGACGGGGCUGGAGUUGCUUAAGGGUAUGCUCAGAGAGUUAAAGGAGGCGCCGUUGAAACCGCAGCAGAGAGUGUUCCUGCUCAGAACAAAUAUUCUACCUAAGAUUAUGUAUUACUUAGUUAAUGGACGCGUGCACCAGUACACUCUUCGCGAGUGUGACAAGUGUGUUCGACGUUUUCUCAGGGAGGUUCUCCAUCUGCCGCACGACACUCCGGUGUCUGCCUUUCAUGCGUGUGCGAAGGAUGGAGGCCUCGACAUCGACUGUUUUGAGUCGCUUGUCCCAAUGUAUAAAUGGCAGAAGCUGGUGAGCCUCGAAGAGGUUCCGGACAAUUUGGUCCGUGACUUGUCUCAGCUACCUGCCAUUCGCAAGCGGUUUCAACUUAAAGGUGCGCAGACCAGUUUUAAUAACAGAGCGGAGUAUCGGAUGUUCUGGAAGAACAAGUUGCUGGACAAUCUAGAUGGAUUUGGUUUAGGUGAAGCAGCGGACGUUCCUCAAGUCCACUCUUGGGUGACUGAUGGCUCGUCCCUGCUCACAGGCGAAAUGUAUAUUAAGUGCCUUAAAAUUAGGUGGAAUGUUUGGCCGACUGCAGCUCGUGCGUCCAGAGGUAGGAGGCAGGCCCCUCUCUGUGAUGCGGGCUGCAGGCAAAUUGAAGGUUUGGGGCACAUUCUGCAGCAGUGUAAUAGGACUUGGGAUAAGAGAGGGGCUAGGCAUGAUAGAAUUGUUGAGUUUGUUGGUAGUCAGGUGGAACGGCGAGGGUUCAAUGUUAUUAAGGAGAAGUCUUUUGCGACUCCUAGGGGGCAUAGACGACCUGAUCUAAUUAUAUAUAAUAAGGAUAGAGUGUGGAUUGCUGACGUCACGAUCUGUGCGGACAGAGGAGCGGGGCCUAUGGCCCUCGCGAGGGACAACAAGAUCAAGUAUUAUACGGACGAGGAUCUAGCGACUGAGGUCGCGAAGGUGGCGGGCCCUGGUGCCCAGAGCGUUGUUGGCCUGGUUUGGAACUGGAGAGGGUGUUGCGAGAAGAAGACGGAUGAGUGGCUCAAGAAGAUGGGUGUGCCGAUCGAGUCUAGAAGGCUGGCUUCGGUCAGAGUGCUGGAAGGCUCGGUCUGGUGCGCGGAGGUGUUUAGAAAGAGAACUGGAAUAAAUUUCGCGCAGGUUGGUGGUCGCAAUCGGAGCGAGUAAGUGUCGUGUUUGUGGCUCCGGCGUUCGGUAACGUCCGGACCAGUUUCAGGCAUCCGCCCGGCAGUCCCGGCUGGUCCCAUGUAUAUGACGCUGCUCUAUUUAAAGAGUUGGCCGACUUGACCACCUGGACGGGGGGUUGUACCGGUUUUCCAGCGGUUUCCACGCCAUAAAACCAGCUAAUAUGCUACCUGGAUGAUGGGCCAGUAUAGGCUCGGGCAGUAGCCCAAUGUUUCUUCGCGAAACCUUCCGGGACAGCACUUCAAAAAUAGCCAAAUGCCUCGUCAUCUAAUUAGUGACGCGCAUGAAUGGAUUAACGAGAUUCCCACUGUCCCUAUCUACUAUCUAGCGAAACCACAGCCAAGGGAACGGGCUUGGCAGAAUCAGCGGGGAAAGAAGACCCUGUUGAGCUUGACUCUAGUCCGACUUUGUGAAGAGACAUGAGAGGUGUAGUAUAGGUGGGAGCGUCAGCGACUUUGAAAUACCACUACUUUUAUCGUUUCUUUACUUAUUCAGUGAAGCGGGAGCGGCCUUCACGGGCCUCGUUUCUGGUGUUAAACGGCUGGCCUCGCGGCCGGCCGUGACCUGCUCUGAAGACAGUGUCAGGCGGGGAGUUUGACUGGGGCGGUACAUCUGUCAAAAGGUAACGCAGGUGUCCCAAGAUGAGCUCAGUCAGGACAGAAACCUGGCGUAGAGCAAAAGGGCAAAAGCUCAUUUGAUUUUGAUUUUCAGUACGAAUACAGACCGUGAAAGCGCGGCCUAUCGAUCCCUUUGAUUAAUCAGAGUUUGAUGCAAGGGGUGUCAGAAAAGUUACCACAGGGAUAACUGGCUUGUGUGGCGGCCAAGCGUUCAUAGCGACGUCGCUUUUUGAUCCUUCGAUGUCGGCUCUUCCUAUCAUUGUGAAGCAGAAUUCACCAAGCGUUGGAUUGUUCACCCACCAAUAGGGAACGUGAGCUGGGUUUAGACCGUCGUGAGACAGGUUAGUUUUACCCUACUGAUGUCUUGUCGUUGCUAUGGUAAUCCUGCUUAGUACGAGAGGAACCGCAGGUUCAGACAUUUGGUUUAUGUGCUUGGUCGAAAGACCAAUGGUGCGAAGCUACCAUCUGAGGGAUUAAGACUGAAAGCCUCUUAAGUCUGAAUCCCGCCCAGAAAUGCAACGAUACUAUCGGUGCCCCUACGCCGGGAGGCAACGAUAUACUCGGCCCGAAAUCCGAUUUCGGCGGCCGAGACUGGCUAAAGCCACUGCGAUACUGGCCACACCCGCUGUCUUGAAAUUUGGCAGUGGAGGCACAGACACGAUACCACUUGAUUGAGACGUAGGGGUUCUAUAUCGUUUGUAGACGACUUAGAUCUCGGUCGGGGUGCCGUACUUAGUUGAGCAGUUCUUCACUGCGAUCUAUUGAGGCUAAGCCUUUUGACGGGGAGAUAUGUCCGC